ensembl:lncRNA
GCGAUUCCUGCCCGCUGCUCGAGGCGGCCAUCUGGACACGGACUGCCCUGUUGGUGUCAGCUCCUCCCUUGUGACAAAUCCAAACACCCCCCCAGCUCCAACACCACACCCCAGGAGCCCAGCAGACAUGUUCUCUAUCAUCCAACAGCAGCAGCUGAAAUGAAGUACUUCAUUCGGGCCUACCGGAUCCUCCGCCUCUGCCAUAGCAGCCAAUGCUCAGUAAGGAUCCCAGGCCAUUUUUAGUGCGUUUCCCCAUCAGUGACUGAGCCUGCAGACCCUGCGUGACCCCACAGGCUGAACGGAACGGAGCAAACAGAGCCGUCAGCACAAGCUGAGCAACUGGAGAGAGCCGUUAACAGGUUAGUCAAAAACACCGUCCUUCACUGCGAAAGUUAUUCCUUUCUGGAUGCAGCCGGAGCACUUUGGAUCAUCUCUAUCAGACACCGCAGUAGGACUGAAGCAGAGUGAACUCCAUGAGCGCCAAGCUUCAGCACAUUAAUUGCUGUUCCUCAGGAACCUGAGACGACCAUUUGGAGGCUGCCUUUUGUCUCAAUGGAAUUUCAGCAUCUCCUUGGGCUUUGCAUUUAUACCAUUCGUGUGAACAGCAAAACUGCACGCAGAUGAUACAGAAGUAACAUAAUA